GAAAAAGUCGUUGGGAUCCGUUAAGUUCCAGCGGCACCUCGCUCAUUUUUCUCUAAGGUGGCAUGAAGCUGACUUAGUUGGAGAACGGGCUUAUGGGGAUCUCCCCUUUCAGGAAGAUGAGAACUGCUAUAAGGAUUCAGGAAAACCCCUGAGGCCCAGGAUGUGGAGAACUGAGCGCCCCGUCCCUCACCGCCGGAACUAGGAAGCACCCUUCCUGGGUCCCUGCCCCAGUGGACUUCUCCAGUUCUUCCUUCCCAGCCGUUGCUGUGGCAUUAGCCAUCUGGAAAAAGAGCUGCUGGUAGGACCUGGGACUUUUGUUCACACCCAUAAGCCUUCCCUCCAGAUAUCCAGUACUUUGCCUUCAGGAAGGAGACUUGAACUUCAGGCAACAGGAGAAAACCAAACCUUCAAGGGCUUUGGUUCCCUCCAAGGCCAAGGUUCCCAAGAUCCUUGGUUAAGAGGUCUGGGCCACUGCCCUCCCGUCUUCACUCUUCUUUUCCCUGUUUGUCCCAGAGUUCUGCUAUAACCCCAAAGCUUUUCUGUUUACCAUCAACAUGGAAACUUGACUCUUCAUAUAGGUAUAUUUUCCCUCUUUUGUGCAUCAUCUUGUUCCCAAAAACUGCCUUUUCAUGAAGGAGGCUUGUGGGACUCAAGGGGCCUGGCCAGUCACCCAGGCUCCCCCGAAGCCUCAGACCACUGGUAAUGUGGAGAAGUUUAAUAAAGAUGUCAUUACUUCUUGA
ensembl:lncRNA